AAAACAUACAAGCUUGAGUUGUAGCGCCAUCUACUGAGAAUGAUAACAUCUAGUUUAGCGGUUUCUUGGAGGUUUUUUGUUGAUUUUGCUUUAAGAAACUUUGUUUACGUAUAAUUCUCAAUUGAAUGUCUUCAAAUUGAACUUUUAAUUUCUCCUAUUAUUUGUAUUAAAUGUGUUAAUCAUCACAAAUUGUUAUUAUCCGGAAAAGUAAAGUGAAAAUUAAUGAUGAACAGUUUUCAAGUGAAGAUCAACAGACACAGCGAAAGCAAAAAGACUACCAAAGUGCGAAAGGAAAAAAAGUAGUCUAAGAAAGUGAACAAGCAACAUUUGUGUUGAACAAAAAAGUUUAAUUGAUAGUUUAAAUUGGUAAUUAUUGUCUUCAAUUGAUGUAGACUGUUCAACUUUAAUUACUAAGGUAACCUGUGAUUUUAAUGAUGAUGAUCUCCUUAUCCGUCUCAACGACAUUUCCUUCUUACCGUUACCAAUUUACUGUUAUUGAUUGUUUUUGUUACAAUUUUACAGUUUAACCAGCCUUACAACACUCUGAACGACUAAAAAAGUGAACACUUGGAUUUAUCUUUACGGGUUAACAAAAUGGUUAUUACAUUUUAAUUGUUACCUUCAGUUGACAUUUUGAUAUUUGCUGCCACCAUUAACCGUAUAUCUUACCAAUAUAGACAAUGUUAUGGUUAUGUUUUUUCUUACUUGUACGUUUUCCCGUUGAAAUCCCUUGAAAUCAUCAAUUUUUGAGAUUAACUCAUCAAUCAUUAUAUUAUAUUAUCUGUUCAAUAGUUAUGAAUUCAUGGGUACAUUUAUUAUGGUGGAAUCAUUUUUCAUUUUUUAUAAUUUCCAACAACAAAGAAACUGUCAAUUUUACAAUUGACAGGCUUUAGGUUAACCUUGAAAAAGCAACAUCAACAACCAAUGAUAAUCUCAUCUUUUCUGAUAAAACCUGAUUUGUAUUCAUCCAGGUAACAAUAUGCUUCAUCAUUGAUACAUUAUUUGGCUAAUCAAGAUUACAACAAAUUGUAAAUGCUGAACAGAAACAAUUGUGCAUAUUAAUAGAAAGGUGAGCUUCACAGAAGACGAUAAGAUUAGGACAAUUCACUGGCAACUUAUCAAUAUGAUUGAAACAAUAACUCGAGUAAAAACCAAGCCAGAGAGAUAGAGAAAGUUACUAGAGAAGGAGAGAGGAAAGAGUUAAUUGAUUGACAAGAACCUGGAAUUUUGUGAAGCCAAGAGAAAAACAAAAUCCAUGUUGACAUUGCUUUCAUUAACUGAUCAACUGAUCAGUUGGAUACACUUUUAAGGUCAACCAUUUACCUGACCCGGGACCGUUUUGCAUUUACCAUUGUAAUGACAAAGCCAUCGCUUUCGGAACCAUUCACUUCAAUCGAGCUGAUGGUUUCAAAAAUCUUGGAUCACUUACCUCAACCAUUUUAAUAUAUUCAGGUUGAGCCACAUUGAUUCAGCAAUUGUAUUCAUUCCAAUUCAAGUUAACUUUUCUUUUACUCUACAAUCUCUUUCGCUCUCUUCGCCAUCACUUCAUACUUAUCAUCCAAUGUCUUUGAGCUGCUCAUUUCUCAUAACGUCUUCUUCAAAUCAUCUUUUACACUCUCAUGGGACUUAUCAUUCUUCAGAGCAACAAAUCUCGGCUACAGCUGCAAAGAAAGAAGUACAAUUUUCCGACCAAGUUGUUCAACUUCACUCUAUGCUGAUACUUGCAAUUGACAUGAAAAUUUGCAUCAUCUGAAAACUGGUUGACAUAAAACCUUAAGGAGGAAAAUAGCGAAACUUGGAAGCAAAAAGAUGUUUAAAGUUAUGCUUUUUUGGCAACAUUUGGAUUAACCUUGGUUUCAUCUGGAUUCAGGAUUAAACGUAAUCUCAUUCAACAUUUUACACUUUGAAUGUGCAAUGACAAAGGAUUGGAAACUAUUUUUAAACUUGACUUGCAACUAGAAGCUGAUUUAGGAAUCAACUAAUUGGAAAUUUUGAUUGUUUUUACUCUGAAUCAAUUUAGAAACGAUCAAGAUGAACCUGCAAGACUCGGCAAUCAAUUGGUAAUAAAUUUUAUGGCCAACCAAGGUAGAACCAGAAUUAGAGUUCAUUAAUCAUCUUAAAAUGUUUAAUGAUGGUUGACCAAGAAGGACUGAUGAAACAAAAAUGGAAAGUUGAACAUAAAUUCAUUAUCAAAACAUCAUUUUUUGGAUCCCCAAAUUGGUUGAUGAUAAUACAUUGAUAACCUUUUCAACAAGGAUAGACCAGAAAGAUCAUGAGGAACUUCAGAAACAUGGAAAUGUUUAAACCACAAGAAAGUUGCUCGUUUUUUUGUGUGUUGCAGAAGCAAAAAAAAGUGAAAAGUGAAAAAAUGAAAAAAAAGUUGAUUACCUGAAUGUGUAUCAUUAAUAUAUCAUAUUGAAAGCAAAAUGUUUGACAGUUAUCAUUAUGGGAAAGCAAAAUGAUUAUGGAGUGAAGGUUGUUUAUCCGGCAUUUUUAAUCAGCCAACAUGUCAAAUUUAAUUUCAAUUUCAAUCAAAUAUUGUAAGUGCUUGAAAAGGUAAAGUCCAGGUGUGGAAGAGAGAAGGUAUAAUGAACCGUUGGUUGAACAAAAAAGAUUGGACUUUUAGUCAAAUAUUUUGUUACAUUUUUUAAUCUUUCAAAUAUGUGACUUUUGAUUCUUGUCAUGAAUGCAUUCAUGAGGAACAAAGUAAUGGACAAAAUUGUGAUGCAUGUUUUAUCGCUUGAAGACAAUGGCUAAGAUGGUUUAAAAGGUUUCCAUUAAGUAAACGACCAUUAUCCGAGUAAAACAACAGAGAUUAACAUGAAUGUAUUUAUGAGUUUUUGGCCUUUUACCUCUUGGAUCAAUCUUAGCUUAACAAAAAUCUGAAAUGCAAUCCGAUGUAAAUACCAGUUCGACAUCUUAAAAUUAAGAGUUAUAAAAAUGUUUAGAUUCA